rnacentral:rRNA from 1 species
CCAUAUCAAUAAGCGGAGGAAAAGAAACUAACAAGGAUUCCCCUAGUAGCGGCGAGCGAAGCGGGAAGAGCUCAAAUUUAUAAUCUGGCACCUUCGGUGUCCGAGUUGUAAUCUCUAGAAGUGUUUUCCGCGUUGGACCGCACACAAGUCUGUUGGAAUACAGCGGCAUAGUGGUGAAACCCCCGUAUAUGGUGCGGACGCCCAGCGCUUUGUGAUACACUUUCAAUGAGUCGAGUUGUUUGGGAAUGCAGCUCAAAUUGGGUGGUAAAUUCCAUCUAAAGCUAAAUAUUGGCGAGAGACCGAUAGCGAACAAGUACCGUGAGGGAAAGAUGAAAAGCACUUUGGAAAGAGAGUUAACAGUACGUGAAAUUGUUGGAAGGGAAACGCUUGAAGUCAGACUUGCUUGCCGGAGCUUGCUUCGGUUUGCAGGCCAGCAUCAGUUUUCCGGGGUGGAUAAUAACGGUUUGAAGGUAGCAGUCUCGGCUGUGUUAUAGCUUUCCGUUGGAUACAUCCUGGGGGACUGAGGAACGCAGCGUGCUUUUUGCGAAAGACUCGUCUUUUUCACGCUUAGGAUGCUGGUGGAAUGGCUUUAAACGACCCGUCUUGAAACACGGACCAAGGAGUCUAACAUGCUCGCGAGUAUUUGGGUGUCAAACCCGGAUGCGCAAUGAAAGUGAAUGUAGGUGGGAACCGCAAGGUGCACCAUCGACCGAUCUGGAUUUUUUAAGAUGGAUUUGAGUAAGAGCGCGUAUGUUGGGACCCGAAAGAUGGUGAACUAUGCCUGAAUAGGGCGAAGCCAGAGGAAACUCUGGUGGAGGCUCGUAGCGGUUCUGACGUGCAAAUCGAUCGUCAAAUUUGGGUAUAGGGGCGAAAGACUAAUCGAACCAUCUAGUAGCUGGUUCCUGCCGAAGUU